GAAGUCUAACAUGUGCGCGAGUCAUUGGGCGGUAAAACCUAAAGGCGGAAUGAAAGUGAAGGAAGCUUUGCUUUCCGAGGGAGGAUGGGGACGUCGGCCCAGUACGGGCGGUCCCCCGCACUCCCGGGGCGUCUCGUUCUCACUGCGAGAAGAGGCGCACCCAGAGCGUACACGUUAGGACCCGAAAGAUGGUGAACUAUGCCUGGUCAGGACGAAGCCAGGGGAAACCCUGGUGGAGGUCCGUAGCGAUUCUGACGUGCAAAUCGAUCGUCAGAGCUGGGUAUAGGGGCGAAAGACUAAUCGAACCAUCUAGUAGCUGGUUCCUUCCGAAGUUUCCCUCAGGAUAGCUGGUGCCCGUGUGAGACGAGUCUCAUCCGGUAAAGCGAAUGAUUAGAGGCCUUGGGGCCGAAACGACCUCAACCUAUUCUCAAACUUUAAAUAGAUGAGAACUCCGGCUUGCUUGAAAGUGAAGCCGGAGACUCGGAUCUGGGUGCCCAGUGGGCCAAUUUUG
rnacentral:rRNA from 1 species